GUCAGUGGAGGCAGCGGUUCAUCGACCCCUUCUUGCGAUUUGUACUGAUUCGUAUCACAAAAACACGAACCGGUCGAUAAACCUCUGCAUCCAGCGCUCUCUC
rnacentral:pre_miRNA from 1 species